CAUGCGGUGUCUAUUCUAUUGGCCCGGAGGGCGGAGGUGGAGCCUGGGCCUGCCUGGUCGGCUGGACUCUGGAGCGGGGCCUGGCAUGACAUGAUUCAGGACUGGUGUUGGUGACCGUCUGAACCGUGCUUCUAGAAGAGGAGGAAGGGCCGAAGGGGGCACGCACGGGUCGACGCCGGCGUCGAGGGGGCCUUCUCAAAGUCGCAGGGUGAGCAACGGUGGCAGUUCUUAUUAGCACAGACUUUUGAACUUGAUUGGGAGAAGAAGAAGAAGCCGUUCAAACUUCAACUACCAAGGCCAGGAGCGAGGAAUCGGGGUACAUCAUUUGCAGGGUUAGUAGGUUGCUUACGACCAUAUCCACCUAAGUUAUAGGUCACCCCCCACAUGUUUGUGGAGUUGUUUUUAUAUAUUUAUUAAGCUACUACUUCUCAUUGUCACCCGGCGUGACACAGCUAAACACAAUAGUAUUGCUGACCGCGGAAGCGGAUUGUUUUCGGACUGCUACAACUGUAAUGCAUAUAGACAAAAUACACUAUAAAGAUAGUAGAAGUGGUACGGAUCAAAGUCAAACGAAUAGGCCACCCAUAGGGUCAUGAGUAAAACUGAAAUAAUAUCAGUCUCGAGAAUACUAUGAAAUUAAAGCGUAUAAUGAUCUUCACAAAAUCAGCUUUGCAGUCAGCAAUUCUUCCUUUUACUGAACUUCCUGCAUGACAAGUACAACUACAUUCUUCAUUUUUUUUAUUCAACUAUCCAAAAACGUUGCAAGGAAGACAUCUGAAGAUUGUGAAGGAAAUACAUAAUAUCGUUCCUUCAGGCACGAAAAGGCAUUUUUGUGUAAAACAUCUCGAUAUGACUACUUUCGGUUGAAAUAACUGAACACGUAGAUCUCAUUUUGCUUUGGCGUCAGGGGAUAAACAUUAAGAGCUCCUGA